UCCUCUUGCUCUCUUUUGAAUCAUUUCUUCUACAGGUGCUUUACCACCCAGACAACAGGGCAUUCACCACUUCAUCGGACAGCCCCAGGGUGUAGGAUGCUCUCUCUCUGCCACACCUUCUGGGUCUGGGACUUGGCUUUCUGGGGUCUCCACCCUGGCUCUGACCCCACACAGGCAGGUAGGAUUAUUUGGGUGCUCUGCAUUUCCAAGUGGAUUUACUUAUCAGCUUCAGUAAAGAAGCCUGUUGAAAUUUGAAGGGAAUUACAUAGAUUCUGUAGAUUACCAUCUCAACAGUCUUCUGAUCCAUGAACAGAGAAGGUCUUUCCAUUAUUGUUAUCAUUCAUUUGUUUGCUUGCUUGUUUGUGAGAAAGAGGAGAAAAAAAGAGAACCAGAGCAUUGCCGGGCAUCAAACUCAGGACUUCAUGCUUGAGAGUCCAACACUAUCCACUGCACCACCUCUAUCCUGCUUAAUUGCUUUUAGAAUGCUUUCCUAUAAAACACUAAGCAGAACUUGGAUUGGAGUUCAUGUAUUGCACCAAAGUAAAAGACUCUGGGGUGGGGUAGAGGGUUCAGGUCCUGGAACAUGAUGGCAGAGGAGGACCUAGUGGGGGGUGUAUUGUUAUGUAGAAAUGUUAUGCAUGUACAAACUAUUGUAUUUCACUGUCGACUGUAAACUAUUAAUCUUCCAAUAAAGAAAAAAAAAGAAUGCUUU